UACGUAGGGUGCGAGCGUUAAUCGGAAUUACUGGGCGUAAAGCGUGCGCAGGCGGCGCCGCAAGUCAGGCGUGAAAUCCCCGAGCUUAACUUGGGAAUGGCGCUUGAAACUACGGUGCUGGAGUGUGGCAGAGGGAGGUGGAAUUCCACGUGUAGCGGUGAAAUGCGUAGAUAUCUGGAGGAACACCGGUGGCGAAGGCGGCAUCCUGGACCGGCAUUGACGCUGAGGCGCGAAAGCCAGGGGAGCAAACGGG
rnacentral:rRNA from 1 species